UCCCUGUUACCAGGGCAGUCUGAUUAGAAAAAUUCAACUAAUCAUAAGGGUUGCGCUCGUUGCGGGACUUAACCCAACAUCUCACGACACGAGCUGACGACGGCCAUGCAUCACCUGUCACUGCGGCCCGAAGGCACAUCUGUCUUUCGACUGACUUCGCAGGAUGUCAAGCCUUGGUAAGGUUCUUGGCUUAGCGUCCAAUUAAACAACACGCUCCACCGCUUGUGCGGGUCCCCGUCAAUUCCUUUGAGUUUUAGUCUUGCGACCGUACUCCCCAGGCGGGAUGCUUAACGCGUUAGCUUCGCUUCCAAAGGGGUCGAUACCUCUGAAUAGCUAGCAUCCAUCGUUUACGGCGUGGACUAC
rnacentral:misc_RNA from 1 species